rfam:Enterocytozoon bieneusi H348 ctg01_1351, whole genome shotgun sequence.
GUGUAUUUGGAAAUAUCCCUAAUACAGGAUCACUUGGAUCCGUCGGCGAUGACGAGCGCGAAAGAAUGCGAAAAGUCCUCACGGAAUGCUCUAAUUAUGAGAUAAUCUCAUGGAUACUCCCUGGACUUAAGCAUAUCAUUAAGGGAAGGAAAAGAAACUAACUAGGAUUCCGUUAGUAGUGGCGAAUGAACACGGAAGAGCUCCAAUGGUAAAGCCUAAGUGCUGUUGUAAUGUAGCCUCCGAAAACAUUCUGGAAAGGAUGACCACAGUGGGUGAUAGUCCCAGAGGAGGAUGUAAAGAAUAGAGUAGUGCUGCUUGGUAGUGCAGUAUGAAGAGGAGGUAGAAACUUCUAAAGCUAAAUACAGACGGAUACCGAUAGAGAAGAAGUAGUGCGAACGAAAGUUGAAAAGAUCUCAUCUAGAGAAUGAAAAGUGAAAGUAUUAGGGCGUAAGCUGAUGACAUCAGACCCGUAUUGAAACACGGACCAAGGAGACUUUGAGUAUAGCGAGGCGAAGGAUGUGAAGUCCCCACCCGCGAGAAAUCUACAAGUUAUACUGAUAGGACCCGAAAGGCAGUGAACUAUACCUGCUCUGCUUGACGCCACGGCAAACCGUGGUUGAGGAGCUAAGUCGUAUUGAUGUUCAACUCAUUGACAGGAAGUGGGUAUAGGGGCGAAAGACCAAUCGAACUGCCUGGUAGCUGGUUCCGGCCGAAAUGUCUCUCAGGACAGCGGUGUCUGCGAAUAGGAAGAUGCGGUAGAGAGGAUGUCGACCUUGUCAACAAACUCCGAAUGCGUCAUUGUGUUGCGAUUGCAUCCAACAUGAUCAUCUAUAAGACACUAGUGGGCGCCUUGUGGUAAGCAUGCGGCGCAAAAAGGGAUGAACCUAGCAGUGGGGUAAGGUGCCUAAAGGAAAACAAAGAGAAAAAGCGUUUGGCAGAUUAGGACAGUGGGGCGGUGGCCAUGGAGGUCGGCAUCCGCUAAGAAACGUGUUACAACGUACCCACCGAAUCUGCGAAUGCUGAAAAUGGAUGGCGCUUAUUUCCAUACCGAGCCCCACAUGGUACAGCCACGUAGGCCGGCACGUGUGCAUCUGAGAAGACCCGCCGUGAGGUGUGUUGGAGAUGUUCACGGAGCAGAUCUUGGAAGUAGUAGCAUCAUUUGUAUGUGCCAAUGGAGGCGGGUUUGUCCUUUUAAUAGAAGGAAGUGAUACGAGCCUGUAAAAGGGAAU